rnacentral:tRNA from 1 species
GCGGGUGUGGCGGAACCGGAAGACGCAGCGGGCUCAGGACCCGCCGGGGUAACACCCCAUGAGGGUUCAAAUCCCUCCACCCGCACCA